GCACAGGUAGCGAAGUGGUUACCGCGCCUGACUCGAGAUCAGGUGUCCUCACGGACGCGGGGGUUCAAGUCCCUCCCUGUGCGCCA
rnacentral:tRNA from 1 species